UGACAGGUCUACCUAACUAUCAGCUUCCACUGUUGUAGGCCGGAACACCUUUCCCACAGACGCCUUGCUGGGGGUGUGGUCCUGCUAGGCUCCAAGGGAGGGGUGGAUUGGAAGACAGCUGGCAUCCUAUAGGAAAACCACCACUGAAAGUGCUGAUUAAUUGCCUAGACGAACGGUGAUAAACUACCCAAAAACAGCACAGAAAAAGAAAUAUAUCCUUCCAGACAGGGUGGAUAAGGAGCCCUAAGAAAAAUUUAGGACAAAGACACACAGAAGAAGACCAUGUGAAGAUACAGGGAAAAGAUGGCCAUCUUCAAAUUGAGGACAGGGACAGAGACCUGACAAGAAAUCAACCCUGCCAAGUCUGAGACUUCCAACCACCAGAAAUGCAAGAAAAUAAAUUUCCAUCUAAGCCACCCAGUCUGUUCAUAGCAACUAAUAUAGUAACUGAAAGAUUGUUUUGGUCUCAUGGUUCUUUUUUAUAAAAUGUAAUUCCUCAGCUCUUGGGUAGAAUCACAGUAGAAGUGACAGUUUAUUCCCUCAUCACAUCCUAUACUUUCGAAAGCAUCUUCUAACGUAAGUGUGAAUAUCAAAUAGAUACCAUAUUUAUCAUAUCACACACAUCACUAAAUGAACUAGAUAAAACUAUCAUCUGUUUCUCUUAUGUUACAAACUUACUAGCAUAAUAUAUGAGCCAGGAGCUGUAUCUUAGAAAGUUAUGAAUGAUAAAUAGCAUUGGUAAAUAUACAAAGAGAAGAAUUAUUCUCUUAUGAAAUCUUAUUCUUCAUGUUUAAUUUUGGAAUCGGAAUUGACUUAAUUUUAUCACA